UGUCACCUUCUGAUGUAAGAAGUAGCCCAUGCACACAAAGAGGGAAGGCGCAGAUGGGGCUGUAUUUAGAGACUGACCAUCACAGAGAAGAAGCUUGACUAAUAUGCUGGACUAAUACUUCUGUCAGACUUGCUGAGUAUAGGCAGUGGUGUCUGGGGAUAGUCGCUGCCUCUCAGCAGGUCAGGCUGGCUGGUAGUUGGGUACCUAGGGCCGAACAGGAUAAACCAGAUUCCUUGUGGUUCUUGGCUCAUGCACCUGAUGUCCAGUGGAGAAAGAAAGAUAAACCUGAAUCACAUGGAGAAAGCAAAUUAUGAACCACAAUUCUGGCAAUGCCACAUUUUUGUUAGAUCCACUAUCUGGUUGAUGGCAUGACCAGGAGUACUUUCCAGAGGCCUCCCUGAGACACUCUCCUGGUGGUAUUUAGACUACAGGGUUCUCUCCAACUGCAACCUGGCAACUUUCAGCUGAUUUUUCCUCCACAGUGAGCCCUGGCUGUCACUCUUCUCUUUAAACUUUACUUCUCAGAAUGUUUUAUCAGAUAGACAUAAAUAAGAUGUCAUUUGCCCAUCCCUAAAAGGGCAAUCUUUUAUUGCCCUCUGAACAGAUCCUUGGAUUUCUAGAUCUAAUAGUUUAUCUGAGAAGGAGAAAGGAUUUAAGUACAAUUUUCCGUUAUUUAUACUAUAUCCUGUAUCACCUUGCCAGUUAUCCUGUUAAGUCCUGUUGCUGUCCUCCAAUGGGCCGUCUAUAUGGCAGAGACAGUAUGAUGAACUCCGUAGAAUACAGACACUGUGUGAUGCCCCCUACUCUGGACAUCAUAACGAGUCUCCCCUUUGCAGACUUUGAGGAGCCCCUUGCUCAGGCCCAGUAGAAAUCAAAGCCCAGCUCAGACUAACCUGAGUUCCCAAGGGGAGUCCUGCUUUCCUACCUAUGGCCUCCACUUUUCAACAAGCCUCCCACAACCCGCCACUCAUCUUCACCCCAAAUCUCCUUCCCAUGAGGUGUUGGAGGGGGUAGAAGCCUUUACUAAGAUUCAAAAGUCUUGAGAAGGGGGCUACCUAUUGCACCACCCAGCAGCAGACUUUUAAAAAACCAUAUGCUUGACUUUCCUGCUUUUGCAAAGUCCUUGGACACCAGCAGUACUAGGGCUCCUCCUGGCCUUGCACCAAGGCCUGAUCUCUCCCACACUCUGCUAUCUCUUGCUUCUCACUGCACUUAGGUCUCCCCUCUCAGAAACAAAAAAAUACAUUCUUCUCAUUUUCUUAUGUCACAAGUCCCUCCCCUUGUUUGAGUCUCUGUCAGCACCCCUGCCUUCAGAGCCUGAUUUUUGUGCCUAAGUGACUUAACCAUGUCCUUUGCUAAAUGAGAAGGAAUCCUGGGGCUGGGAGGGAGGAUAGCAUGCUUUAUGCACCUUGUUACAUUUGCACCUUGAGAGAUCUUUUUGUUUGGAAGCAGCACAUGGAUCCAUAUCACCCCUCAGCAGAAGGGAGAAGAGUGGACUUAUUGGGAACAUAAAGACAAGAAACUGAAGAACUUCAGAAACCCCUCGGGAUCUGAGACAGAGCAGAACACCCAGCUUGCUGGGAUGUCAGGCUAAGGGAAGGUGGGGCUCGACCACCUGUCCUGCUCUGAGAGGAGUCUUUCAGUCUGCUCUUGGCCCAGAUGGCCAGGUCCCAGAGGCAGACCCUGCUGACUGACCUAUGGCCCCCCAUAACACUCCAGUGAAGCCCUACAGCCACAUGGACUGCUCAGAGGAGAGCCUGCGGGGUGGUGGUCGGGGAAACUCCGGGAACCACACAAGGACUUCUCAAACUGCUGUGCCUCAGAAUCACCUAGAACACUUGCUCAAAAUACAGACACCCAGAACCAUUCUGGGGCAUCUGUCUUC